AUUGAACGCUGGCGGCAUGCCUUACACAUGCAAGUCGAACGGUAACAGGUCUUCGGAUGCUGACGAGUGGCGAACGGGUGAGUAAUACAUCGGAACGUGCCCGAGAGUGGGGGAUAACGAGGCGAAAGCUUUGCUAAUACCGCAUACGAUCUCAGGAUGAAAGCAGGGGACCGCAAGGCCUUGCGCUCACGGAGCGGCCGAUGGCAGAUUAGGUAGUUGGUGGGAUAAAAGCUUACCAAGCCGACGAGCUGUAGCUGGUCUGAGAGGACGACCAGCCACACUGGGACUGAGACACGGCCCAGACUCCUACGGGAGGCAGCAGUGGGGAAUUUUGGACAAUGGGCGCAAGCCUGAUCCAGCCAUGCCGCGUGCAGGAUGAAGGCCUUCGGGUUGCAAACUGCUUUUGUACGGAACGAAAAGACUCUGGUUAAUACCUGGGGUCGAUGACGGUACCGGAGGAAUAAGGACCGGCUAACUACGUGCCAGCCGCCGCCGUAACAC
rnacentral:rRNA from 1 species